GACGUAGGGGGCAAGCGUUGUCCGGAUUUAUUGGGCGUAAAGCGCUCGCAGGUGGUUCGUUGCGUCGUGCGUGAAAGACCCCGGCUCAACUGGGGAGGGUCGUGCGAUACGGGCGAACUGGAGGCCAGUAGGGGGAUGCGGAAUUCCGGGUGUAGUGGUGGAAUGCGUAGAGAUCCGGAGGAACACCAGCGGCGAAGGCGGCAUCCUGGACUGGUCCUGACACUCAUGAGCGAAAGCGUGGGGAGCGAUCCGG
rnacentral:rRNA from 1 species